rnacentral:rRNA from 1 species
UACGUAGGGUGCAAGCGUUAAUCGGAAUUACUGGGCGUAAAGCGUGCGCAGGCGGUGAUGUAAGACAGAUGUGAAAUCCCCGGGCUCAACCUGGGAACUGCAUUUGUGACUGCAUCGCUGGAGUGCGGCAGAGGGGGAUGGAAUUCCGCGUGUAGCAGUGAAAUGCGUAGAUAUGCGGAGGAACACCGAUGGCGAAGGCAAUCCCCUGGCCUGCACUGACGCUCAUGCACGAAAGCGUGG